UUUUGGUGACUUGAAUCACUUGAUAUCUGCAACCAUGUCUGGAGUAACUUGCUGCCUCAGAUUUCCUGGCCAGCUUAACUCUGAUCUCAGAAAGCUUGCUGUAAAUCUCAUUCCUUUUCCCCGUCUUCACUUUUUCAUGGUUGGGUUUGCACCACUUACAUCACGAGGUUCCCAACAAUACCGGGCUUUGACUGUCCCUGAGUUAACUCAGCAAAUGUGGGAUGCU
rnacentral:misc_RNA from 1 species